GACACCAUCAAUUAAUAAUAAACAAUGAUAAUUUUAUUUACAAUGAUCACACACCAAUCUCAACAAUCUUCAUGUAUUCACAAUCAAUAAACAAAAAUCAAUGAUAAUUGAGAAAGAAAACAAAUAAAACCAACCAGCUGUUCUUUAUACACUUAUCAAACAGCUGAAUCUCCUUCCCAAACAUUAAAACAAAAGAAUUAUUUCACAAAGCACACACAUCAAAUUGGAGAUAGAAAUAAUAAAUAAAUCUCAAUCUCGAUGAACCUUAUUUUGCAGCCCGAAAGAGUUGACUUCCAAGGGUCACAACCGGGGUUCCUUCCCCCAUGAUUGUUGUCAAGCUCAUUUCUUUUUCAAGUAUUCGAUCCAGCUCGGUUACCACAUAACUCAUUGCAGGCCUUCUCUCGCUUGAAACUUCGACACACCCGAUUAUCAAGUGGAUAUAUUCUUCCAUACCUUCCGUUGUGAAGCUGUUCCCGAUUCGUGGAUCAAUGAUACCGGAGAUAGUUCCUGCUUCUUGAUGACUAUGCACCCAUUCAACAAGAUUUUGGUUGGAGUUUGAAGAUAGUAAUUCCGCUGCUUCUUGUCCACUUACCAACUCGAGCAGGAAUACACCAAAGCUGUAAAUGUCACUUUUUUCAGAGAAGCGCUUGAAUUCACGGUAUAACUCUGGAGCAAGGAAUAUCUCAUCAAUUCUAGCUUGAGAAGACGGGCCCGCUGAGUCAACUCG
rnacentral:lncRNA from 1 species